ensembl:snoRNA
UGGAUCGAUGAUGACUACUGGUGGCAUAUGAGUUGUGUACGAUGACUGGAAGUCUGAUGUCCGA